CUCAGAUCCAAACCAGUUCUGGGUCCCCCUCGUCUAAGCCAGCUGGUCUGGCUUAACAUCUCUGCUUCCAUUUGCUUCUUUCUUUUUUUUUUUGUUUUAUAAUAAAUCCUUUCUUGUUUGAUACAAGGGAUUGAAACCCACAGCUGGAGCUGCUGGGAAACCUUCCAGGUGAAGACAAAGUUCAGGUGCUCGCGGACAGACUGUGAGCAGCGCGUGCUCCGACAGUAGCCGGACGGAUGGACUGAACCGCUGGACGGACUCACGGACGGAGACAUGCGGGACUGAAGGUGGAGUCACAAGCUGCUCCGCACUUUCUGGACAACUUGGCUUGUUGUUGCGCGGCUCUUGAGUCGUGUGUAGCCGCGAGCAGGUCGCCUUCCUCCGGCAGGACUCUGAGGAAACACUCGGGACCUUUUUCCCGUCAGUGAGGAAUGAAAGCGCCGCGGUUUGACUUUUCUGCAGCAGCUCUGGGUGAGUGUUUGGAGAAAGUUUGUAAGCGAUGGAUGAUACGUUCAUCCAAGGUGCUGGUCUGCACGGCUGGAGUGACCUCCUGAGGGGCCCCGGGCCAUGGUUUGGUGUAACUGGACCUCAGUUCUACAUGACACCGUAAACCCAUCUGUCUCGAGCGGACAUGGCAACGAUUUUCAUAAUUGGAUAAUAGGUUAAGUCAUUUUUUGAAGUAAAGCAACACUGUGGCACCAGCUUUCCAAAUGGCAAUAUUUGCUAGUUUUCUAAUUUCCUACAGUUGUAAACGGAAAAAUGUGACUUCUUUAAUGCAUGUUACUGGCUUAGUGUGGACAUGGUUGGAGUUUAAAUGAGUAGAAAACCAGAAAAGUAGAAGAUAUUUGCAAUGGGAAGCUGCGACUAGAAAAUGUUUAACAAUUACAAAGUGGUCAUUUUUUUUAGGUGAUAUUGUUUGCAAUUUUUUUUUUUUUAAAGUGCUGUAGGACUUGCAGGUUUCCAACUAUGAAUAUUUACUUGUUUCCUAGUUUUUUACUAAUUUAAACUCAAAUUUUGGACU